rnacentral:rRNA from 1 species
UUGAACGCUGGCGGCAGGCCUAACACAUGCAAGUCGAACGGUAACAGGAAACAGCUUGCUGUUUCGCUGACGAGUGGCGGACGGGUGAGUAAUGUCUGGGAAACUGCCUGAUGGAGGGGGAUAACUACUGGAAACGGUAGCUAAUACCGCAUAACGUCGCAAGACCAAAGAGGGGGACCCUCGGGCCUCUUGCCAUCGGAUGUGCCCAGAUGGGAUUAGCUUGUUGGUGGGGUAACGGCUCACCAAGGCGACGAUCCCUAGCUGGUCUGAGAGGAUGACCAGCCACACUGGAACUGAGACACGGUCCAGACUCCUACGGGAGGCAGCAGUGGGGAAUAUUGCACAAUGGGCGCAAGCCUGAUGCAGCCAUGCCGCGUGUAUGAAGAAGGCCUUCGGGUUGUAAAGUACUUUCAGCGGGGAGGAAGGGAGUAAAGUUAAUACCUUUGCUCAUUGACGUUACCCGCAGAAGAAGCACCGGCUAACUCCGUGCCAGCAGCCGCGGUAAUACGGAGGGUGCAAGCGUUAAUCGGAAUUACUGGGCGUAAAGCGCACGCAGGCGGUUUGUUAAGUCAGAUGUGAAAUCCCCGGGCUCAACCUGGGAACUGCAUCUGAUACUGGCAAGCUUGAGUCUCGUAGAGGGGGGUAGAAUUCCAGGUGUAGCGGUGAAAUGCGUAGAGAUCUGGAGGAAUACCGGUGGCGAAGGCGGCCCCCUGGACGAAGACUGACGCUCAGGUGCGAAAGCGUGGGGAGCAAACAGGAUUAGAUACCCUGGUAGUCCACGCCGUAAACGAUGUCGACUUGGAGGUUGUGCCCUUGAGGCGUGGCUUCCGGAGCUAACGCGUUAAGUCGACCGCCUGGGGAGUACGGCCGCAAGGUUAAAACUCAAAUGAAUUGACGGGGGCCCGCACAAGCGGUGGAGCAUGUGGUUUAAUUCGAUGCAACGCGAAGAACCUUACCUGGUCUUGACAUCCACGGAAGUUUUCAGAGAUGAGAAUGUGCCUUCGGGAACCGUGAGACAGGUGCUGCAUGGCUGUCGUCAGCUCGUGUUGUGAAAUGUUGGGUUAAGUCCCGCAACGAGCGCAACCCUUAUGGUCAGUUACUACGCAAGAGGACUCUGGCCAGACUGCCGUUGACAAAACGGAGGAAGGUGGGGAUGACGUCAAGUCAUCAUGGCCCUUACGACCAGGGCUACACACGUGCUACAAUGGCGCAUACAAAGAGAAGCGACCUCGCGAGAGCAAGCGGACCUCAUAAAGUGCGUCGUAGUCCGGAUUGGAGUCUGCAACUCGACUCCAUGAAGUCGGAAUCGCUAGUAAUCGUGGAUCAGAAUGCCACGGUGAAUACGUUCCCGGGCCUUGUACACACCGCCCGUCACACCAUGGGAGUGGGUUGCAAAAGAAGUAGGUAGCUUAACCUUCGGGAGGGCGCUUACCACUUUGUGAUUCAUGACUGGGGUG